AUGGCCAAGAUCCAGCCCCUCCCCGCGGCCCCAUCGCCGCCGUCCUCCGGUGAUCACCGCCAGGGCCAGCAGGCGUACACGGUGUGGAUGAAGUCGCUGGUGUUCAACGGCAACGGCUGCGCGGUGUACGGCCCCGACGGCGCCGUCGCCUUCCGCGUCGACAACUACGGCUGCAGGGGCGGCCGCGAGGUCUUCUUCAUGGACCGUCAGGGGAACGCCCUCAUCAGGAUCAGGCGCAAGGGCUUCGGCAUGUUCAGGAGGUGGGAGGUCUGCCGGUGCGAGGACGAGGAUGCGACGCCGUGGUUCACCGUGCGCCGAGCUGGCAAGGGCGGGGCCGCCGUUGCGAUGCACGGCGGCGCGGGGACAUGCUACAAGAUCGACGGGUGCUCUGCCAGCAAGACGGAGUACAAAGUCCGCGGCGUGGACGGCGCGGCCGUGGCGGAGGUGGCGCGGAAGCAGACGGCGGCCGGGGUGGUGCUGGGAGAGGACGUGCUGACGCUGACGGUGGCGCCGGAAAUGGAUCACCUGCUCGUCCUGGGUUUGGUCGUCGUGCGUGGCCUCAUCAACCGCUCCUUGUGA
rnacentral:rRNA from 1 species